rnacentral:rRNA from 1 species
AACGCGAAGAACCUUACCCAGGCUUGACAUGCACAGGACGACACUAGAAAUAGUGUUUCCCUUCGGGGUCUGUGCACAGGUGCUGCAUGGCUGUCGUCAGCUCGUGCCGUGAGGUGUUGGGUUAAGUCCCGCAACGAGCGCAACCCUUGUCAUUAGUUGCCAACACGUAAUGGUGGGAACUCUAAUGAGACUGCCUAGGUUAACUAGGAGGAAGGUGAGGAUGACGUCAAGUCAGCAUGGCCCUUAUGCCUGGGGCUACACACGUACUACAAUGGCCGGUACAGAAGGCAGCGAAACCGCAAGGCGGAGCAAAUCCCCAAAGCCGGCCCCAGUUCAGAUUGUAGUCUGCAACUCGACUACAUGAAGUCGGAAUUGCUAGUAAUGGCGCGUCAGCAACAGCGCCGUGAAUACGUUCCCGGGCCUUGUACACACCGGAGUGC